CCUACGGGGGGCAGCAGUGGGGAAUAUUGCACAAUGGGGGAAACCCUGAUGCAGCAACGCCGCGUGAGUGAAGAAGUAUUUCGGUAUGUAAAGCUCUAUCAGCAGGGAAGAAAAUGACAGUACCUGACGAAGAAGCCCCGGCUAACUACGUGCCAGCAGCCGCGGUAAUACGUAGGGGGCAAGCGUUAUCCGGAUUUACUGGGGGUAAAGGGAGCGUAGACGGCUUCUCAAGUCAGAAGUGAAAGCCCGGGGCUCAACCGCGGGACUGCUUUUGAAACUGUGUAGCUAGAGUGCAGGAGAGGUAAGUGGAUUUCCUCUUGUAGCGGUUAAAUGCGUAGAUAUUAGGAGGAACACCGGUGGCGUAGGCGGCUUACUGGACUGUACCUGACGUUGCGGCUCGACAGCGUGGGUAGCAAACAGGAUUAGAUACCCGGGUAGUC
rnacentral:rRNA from 1 species